AGCAUCCACCGCCGCCACCGCUCCCAAGCAUCCACCACCACCACCGCCGCCGCCCCCAACCAACCAUCCACUGCCCACCUCCUCCUCCUCCUCCCAACCAUCCACCACCCUCCACUUGACCGCAAGCCACUGCUGACCACUGCCGUCGUCGCCUAGAGCUACAUCUCGGAAUCGUGCGUUUCCUCCCCGAGCACGGGUCCACCUCCUCCACAAGCCCUCGAAGCAGAAGAUCACCGCUUUGGCCCUCCUCUCCAGCGGGAACCUCUGGCUGCUGAGCAUCAACAUCGCUAGCUGUUGUACUGGUUUUGAACAAUUUCUGCGCCUCCUAAUACUGCUUACCUGAAGGUGAUAUUUGUAAUUUGUUUGGGCUUAGUGUCACCUAUUGUCGGCCUCCUCUACAUCCUCUCCAAGUGCCACCUCCUCUACUUCUUUGCCCCAACUGAGAGAAUUUGACAUGUUGGAGAUGUCCCCGAAGACUGGUUAAGAUACCUUGCUGUAACCAUAUGCUCCGAGCUCAAGUAGAAGACUUACAAGCUUUACUCUUUCUGCUACUUCCAUUCUGUACAACUUGGACGUCUUGAAACUGCAUUUGCUAAAUUAUGAUGCAAUUCUUUAUGUGUAAUCUAUGAAUAGCAUACAUUGUAACGAUUUAAAUGCUUGACUAUGAGAAAUUCUAAUAUAAAUGUGAAGUACACAUGCAAUUUCCUUCUACCUUA